GCCGAUUAGCUACGGAAAUUGAAAAUCAAGGCAUUGGUUUUGUUUAACUUAACUAUUGCAGAUUGUAUUUGCUUUGCUUGCUUCCUAAUAAUUGAUUUAAUUAUCAAACAAUUAUAUCAACUUUGCGACUAUUUGAGUGAAAAUUCAUAGUGUACAGUGUUGAGUUUUUACUCCAUUAUCUGCACAAUCCAUAUCUGUGCUGGUUUUGGGCUCAAAAACAAACAAUUUAGUGUUUGAGUUUCAUUACCUUUCAAUAAACUUGCCAGUGUUUCUAGUGCAUAAUUUCCUUCCACUUAAACCAAUGCACUUAUCUGUUGCUGUCUGUUAGACAAUUAUGGCAUCACUAAGUCAACAAUCUGUGAAGUUUGUGAUAAGGAAUUUUCAAGCACAUCUACCAGAAACAGGCAUUGGAAAAAGUUUCACCCUGAAUUUGUUGGGAAGGAACAAACAAAACACAUUAUAUGUCCAAUGUGUACUAUUGAUAUCCAGACAUUUUCAUAUUUUAACUGUUUAAACAAACAUUUGCUUGAUAUUCACCAUAUAACUGUCAAAGAAUGAAUUUUAAAUUUUAGGAAUUUUGAAGAAUUCACAUCUUAGAGGGCACAAGAUAAUAGGGAAGUAGAUUAUGCUUGUCAGACCCGAAACAAGUUUAAGAAUGGGGAAGAACACAUAUUUCACAAUUGCAACAGGAGUGAUAUCAGAGGAUUUAAUAGCGCAUGCAAAGUGAGAAGUCUGGGGGAAGCAUUUACAUUCAAGGAACAUGUCAACAAGACCAAACUCAAAUAGCUAUCAGCAUAAAAUUGUAUUAGAAGCCCAUAACAAAGCCGAAAAAAUGAAUGGUAAGGUAGAAUUUUUAGAAUUUGGAAAAUUCAAAAAGUACAAAGUGUUUCGGUAAGUGGUAAGUUCUAUGUUGUGUCUUGUCAUGAACUAUGUGAUGAGCAAUGUCACACUGGAUACUGUAACAUCUGUAAAAUAUGUUUUCAUAAAUACUCCAGAAAAUUCUGUCACAGUAUAAACAGUACUUUGUAAACUGUUUUGUAAUUUUUGAGCAGAGGAGCGAGUUUGUUGUAGGUUCCCCAACUGUGAGUGAAGAGGAUAAUGUUUGGUUUUUUGAUCAACCCACAACUAGCCAAAUCAAUUAUCAGGAGGAUGUAAACCAUUUUAUUCAGGAGAGUUUAAAAAUGAAAGUCAAUAGUUCUGCAAUGGACUUUGAAGAAAAUCGAGAAGUAGUUCGAGUAAAAUAUAAGUUACAUUUUUAUUACAUCAUUUAUACUUAUUUUAAGAUUGCAUUGCAAGAAAUUUGUAGCUAUGGUAGAAGUUUAGAUAAAAAUGCAUUUGCCAGAUUUAUGGCUGUAAUCAACAAAUUUAAAAAUAAAGAAGUGGAGGAAGAAAAUUGUCAGGGCAUUGAAAAGAAAAGAAAAAUUGAAAAACAAAUGUACUAUCCAAAUAAAAAAUAAGCUAGAUUUCUUUGUGUAUUUAAUGGCUAGAUAAUAUUUGAAUUGUAGCUAUUUUUUUUAUGUUUGUAUAGCUGUGAAGUUAACAAAAAUAGGAUGUGGUAUUUUAUAUGGUAUUUUGUGUUAUAAUCAGUAUAAUAUAACUAAGUAUAUUUUUUGUAAGGUUUUGGUGCAGGUUUCAAAUUAUAAAUACAAAUUUUAUGUAAGAGGUCAUAUACAUAACUAGGUAUAGUUUUUGUAAGGCUUAAUUUGGUGUAGGUUUUAAAUUGUAAAAACAAAUUUUAAGACGUCAUAGGUGUUGGUUUCUGUAUUACUAUUUUUAUAUCUUUUAUAUCUUUUAUUUUAAGACUAAAAUGUUAGCUUAUUUUGUAUGUUAAUAUUCAAGUAAUCAUUUUCUUUGCUAUGUUUUUAAUAUUUUUUAGGGUGCAGAAAAGCUAAUUGGAUUAACUUAAAAUUGACAUGGAACCAGGGGGAAGAUCCUCUGUGAGUAUAUAUUUAUUAAUUGAAAUGUAUACAGAGCAGUAAUUUUUUUUUAUGUUACUAUUGAAUGGAAGUUUGAAUGGUUUGGGCUGUAUAUACAUGACCAGCAGAGAUGGCAAAUAAGCUAAAGAAGUGAGAGUCUACAUACUAUAUACCAGAUUAAUACAUUUAGCCUCUUAGCAUUUAAUUUUGAGGUUGUUGAUAUUAAAAAUACCAUAACUUAUUAUAUUUAAAUAACAAAUAAAUUUAUAGAUUUUUUUUGUUUUCUGUUCUUAUACUUUGACUUUUUAGUCAUGUUUACCCUUUAUCCAGCUUUUCCAACCAUAUAUAUACUUUAUAUCAACCACUAAAGUAUAAUGUAUAGAAUAUGUAUAGUGGUAGUGGACAAUUUAAAAUAAUAUUAUACUUUCAA